CAGGGCUGCGGGCUCAGAAGGCAGCGUCUGGAGCAUCUCCACCAUGGUCUGGGCUCUGCUCCUCAUCACCGUCCUCACUCAAGGCUCAGGUGA
rnacentral:pre_miRNA from 1 species